UGUCUAUACUUCUCUAAUUUGAUCUUCUCGGUUUUACGAAAAGCUUUUUCGGUAUUUUCUUGCUUGGAGUUUUCGUUGCAACAAGAAAAAUGUGGGAUUCACCGUAUAGCUCUUAAUUUUUAUCUGGAGAAGGCAUAAGGUGUAAGUUUGUACUUUCAUUUCUUCAUAUAGUGAAAUACAUCUCUCUCGCUCUCCCCGUGGACAUAGGGGAUUGCCGAAGCACGUAAAUCUUAGUUUCUUCUUUUUGUAUUUAUUUCUUUUACCGUUCGUUCGAUUUUCUAUAUUUUUUCGUGCAUCUUUGUUGGUAGCGCAUGACGGGCGAUCCAUCCGGUUUCCAACAGCCUAGACAAGUAGAUUAUCUAGAGACCUUGGGUUGAAUUACAUUUUUAGUUCUCGAACCAUAAGAUGCACAAUAUUUCUAAUUUUGAAGUAGAUUUUCCAAAUCAUUACAAUUAAGAGGUGCUGAUAUAGGACUGAUAUGAGAGUGAGAUAUAUUAAUUAUUAUUAUCAUAUCGUCAUCCAUAAUUAAUUGUAAUAUUAACACCGCAUGCGUGACGAUAUAUAUAUAUAUAUAUCUAUAUAUAUAUAUAUUAAUUAUUAUCAUAUUAUCAUCUAUACACUACAACAAAAACGGUCUAUAACGAUACUUUUAAAUAUAGGUACGUGUCAAAAAAAUGCUGCUAGCUAAAAUUACCGACACUUUUAAAAAGUGUUGCUAUAUGUGGGGUCGGUAGGUAUAUAGUGACAGUUAAAGAGUGUCGCUAUAACCUAAAAGAGUGCUACUAAUUUACCAACACUUAUUUAAGCAUUUAGCAACUGCCGAAAUUCUAUCUCGUUGGCUACGGUGGCAGAGGAGGACGACAGUAAAAGCUCUUCAUCUAGAAUUUCAGUGGAUUGAGUGAAGAGAGAAGAAAAGAUGGUAAUUGAUUUUUCUUUUUUUUUUCUUUUCUGUUUGUAAUCGGGCCAAAUGGAUUGGAUGUGGUGGGUUGAGUAGAGUAAUCUUUUAUUUUUGGUUGGAUUGGGCUUUAUAUUUAGGCAUUAGUAGAUGUGUUUUUAAGUUUUAGUAUAAAUAGGACACUUACUCAAAAGUAUCCCAAAUAUGUAUCCCUAUAAUCUAAUUCUGUUGUAGUGAUAUAAUCUAUAAUUAAUAUUGACACGGCAUGAUAUGAUAUUCU
rnacentral:lncRNA from 1 species